UUAAGAAAAUACUUAUAAAAUAAAAAAACUUAAGUUAAAAUAAUUCUACUAAUAAAUUAAAAUAAGAAUAUCUUUGGUUGGGGCAACCACGAAGAAAAAAAAACCUUCGUUCAAAAAAAGAAAUAUACUAAUUUAAAAGCUUAAAAAGAAAAAAGAUCCAGAAAUACUGAUCAAAGAAAAAAGUUACCGCAGGGAUAACAGCGUUAUUCUCUUUAAGAGCCCAUAUUGACAAGAGAGUUUGCGACCUCGAUGUUGGACCGGGGCAUCCAAGAGGUGUAGCAGCCUCUAAAGGUAGGUCUGUUCGACCUUUAAAGCCCUACGCGAUCUGAGUUCAGACCGACGCUUGU
rnacentral:rRNA from 1 species